rnacentral:lncRNA from 1 species
GAGCAAGAAAGAAAAGAGCUAGCCAUGGUUGUUGAGGUGACCAGGCCACCGUCACUGCCACAGCAAUUAAUACAUGUUAGCAUGUUAUUGUUAUUAUUGUUAAUCCAGUCCUUAAGUUAGAGAUGUUGAAGUUAUGUUUCAUUCCUUCUCUUUGUCUCAGUCACAAGUUCACUGAUUUUUCUUCCUCAAUGGUUUCUAUGCCUACUCCUUUCUUUCCCUUCCUACUGUUUCCAUUGUUGAUCUCAUGUGGAAAAAAUGCAGCAGCUUUCAUUCUGUUCCCUCUGUCUCCAGUGUCUCCAUAUUCCACUCCAUCUUGCACUCUGCUAGAUGAAUCUUCAUUAAAUACCUUUAUUAUGCCACUUUCUUGCCACAAAUCCCUCAAUCUUUUUCUAUUGUUCACAGUUGUGAUUCUUAAACUACAGUGUACAUCAGAAUCACCUGGAAACCUUGUUAAAAGUCAGAUGUCUCUUGAAAUACAGAUGCUAAGGUUAUGAAAUAUUCUCAACGUACUCAUAGUAUAAUGUGUAA